rnacentral:misc_RNA from 1 species
GUGCGCGUCUAUUCGGUGGCGGCGGAGAUUUUUUGAAAUACCGCCUUUUCGCUGUCUGUUUUCUAAUAUGCCAAAAAGAAUUUUUGUUAAUUUUACCUUUAAAAAGAUUUAUAACCUGUAAAAUUGUAAAAUUUUUUUGUAAAACUGUAUGAUUAAUCAUUUACGUUUUGGUUCGGAUGGAAAGAUCAAUGAUUUUUUGUGUAUUCUGGAUAUUUUUUUGUGGAUAUCGUCCCCGGUAAUCAAUCUUGGAUACAUCAAUUCGAUUACGUCAUGACAGGCCUGCAUUUAUCGAAGGCAGCGUGAUGCCUCGGGAACCCAAUUGGGUAUAUCUGUUGGUGCGUGUAUCGGCCGUGCUGCUGUUAUUAGUCGGUCUUCGCAAGGCUGACUGCUCGACAUCCGCUCCCCGAUAUCCGGUCUGUAAACCGGGUUUCGAAUUUUGGUCGGUCGAGCGUACCACCUGUUGGCCUUGCACCAGAUGUGCUCCUGAUUUCACUUUGAGCCCCUGCGCCAUUUACAAGGAUGCUAUUUGCGGACCACUCUCCGCUCUCGAGCUCGAUUGGUCUUUUCUUUCGAGCAGGAAAAGACCGGAAACCGGGCAAAGAAGCCUCGAAGCGGUUACUUCGAAGAUGUUAUGGAGAUUUCCAGAGUUGAGAGAGGAUGAAGAACACGUUGAACGGAAAUCGAACGACUUUAUCGACGAUUCGGAGCGGCGAGAUAUUCAAUCGAGAACGAAGGACCAGGGAUCGAACGGGCCUCGUACGAGAAGCGUAGCUACUUGGAGGGAAAGAAUCCACUGGGAUUGGCAAACGAUCGCGCUGAUUCUUGCCGUUUGUGCCUGCAUAUUAUUUUUUCUGGUCGCAGGAUGCUCGGCUUUGGUCUACGCGAGGCAGUGGCGUCGGAUGAAGAAAAACUUCGAGCCCGUAGGCCUAGAAGAGAUUUCGGCUCGAUUAAAUUUAAUGGUCAAGGCGGAAUUAGCCGAGCUAGUCGCUGGUACACCCAUAAACCCUGCUGAUCCCGAAACAAGAUGCCAAUAUCUUGAGAAACUUUUGGACCGAAAGAGAGAGACACCUGUGAUGAUCGAUUGGCCAGAAGUCAGCGGAAACGUUUACAUAGAAGACGGAGAGCCUUCGAAAGGGGAGAAAUUGCAAAUCGCUAGAAUUCAUCGAAAUAUCGAAACGAUAUUAAAUCAAAAAAGAAAUUUCAGCGAUUCAUAGGAACGCAAGUGAAGGAACAUGGGUAAAGGAAACUACUUUUGAAGAAGUUUCAACUAAAAUUUAAAUCGACGACAAUAUUUAUAUUCGUAUUUACGACUCGUUCUCCAACGCGGGUAGAGAUAGAUCUGUAAGGAGGAGGAAGAAAUCC